rnacentral:lncRNA from 1 species
UACAAGAAUAACAUAGAUGACAUUUUAGUUGUGCAAACUAGAAAUUCACCUUUUGUUUGUUUGUUUGUUUUUAAGACAGACACAGUACUUUUAUUUAUUUUUAUGCUGAGGAUCAAACUCAGUGCCUCACACAUGCUAGGUGAGCACUCUACCACUGAGCCACAACCCCAGCCUGAAAUUCACCUCUCUCUCUCUCUUUUUUUUUUUUUUUUUUAAAUCUAAGCUUGCAAUUCUCUUAAAAGUCAUUAGUCUAAUCAGUUUAGUUAUUUAAUUGAUUUUUUUGUUUUGUUUGAACACAAUCAUUAUUUAGUUUGGGGAAGUUAGGAGAAUAUAG